rnacentral:ncRNA from 1 species
AGUGCGUGGACACCACGUUACGGCCCGUGCUGAACAUCAUGCCUGUCGUGGCUUGGUUCCCUUCAUCAGGUGCCUUGCUUUGGCCGGCGCGUUUACUUUGAAAAAUUUAGAGUGCUCAACGCAGGCGAUUCGCCUGAAUAACAGUGCAUGGAAUAAUAGAACAAGAUCCUGUUUCUGUUCUGUUGGUUUUUGGAAUACAGGAUAAUGAUUAAGAGGGACAGACGGGGGCAUUCGUAUUGCGGCGCUAGAGGUGAAAUUCUUGGACCGUCGCAAAACGAACUACUGCGAAAGCAUUUGCCAAGAAUGUUUUCAUUGAUCAAGAACGAAAGUUAGAGGUUCGAAGGCGAUCAGAUACCGCCCUAGUUCUAACCAUAAACGAUGCCAACCAGCGAUCCGCCUGAGUUACUCAAAUGACUCGGCGGGCAGCUUCCGGGAAACCAAAGUAUUUGGGUUCCGGGGGAAGUAUGGUUGCAAAGCUGAAACUUAAAGGAAUUGACGGAAGGGCACCACCAGGAGUGGAGCCUGCGGCUUAAUUUGACUCAACACGGGAAAACUUACCCGGCCCGGACACUGGGAGGAUUGACAGAUUGAGAGCUCUUUCUUGAUUCGGUGGAUGGUGGUGCAUGGCCGUUCUUAGUUGGUGGAGCGAUUUGUCUGGUUAAUUCCGAUAACGAACGAGACUCUAGCCUAUUAAAUAGGUGCGUGGUUCUCUGCACCUUGCACCCUUCUUAGAGGGACAAGCGGCUCCUAGCCGCACGAAACAGAGCAAUAACAGGUCUGUGAUGCCCUUAGAUGUCCGGGGCCGCACGCGCGCUACACUGAAGGAAGCAGCGUGUUUUUAUCCCUGUCUGUAAAGACUGGGUAACCCGUGGAACCUCCUUCGUGAUUGGGAUAGGGGCUUGCAAUUGUUCCCCUUGAACGAGGAAUUCCCAGUAAGCGCGAGUCAUAAGCUCGCGUUGAUUACGUCCCUGCCCUUUGUACACACCGCCCGUCGCUACUACCGAUUGAAUGAUUUA